rnacentral:misc_RNA from 1 species
AGCAGAAACGUAGCAUUCAGUCACGUUUAGAUAUUUUAGAUACAGGCUUCAAGAUAGAAUGAACAUGAACUGGCAUCACUGAAGCACACAGCAGCGAAGCCAGCAAACCACCCAUCAAGCAGAACGAACAUUCAGCUGCUACCGUCAGUAGGACGCGACGCAGUUGGGUACACCUGAGAACUCGCAAACCCGACAAAAGACGCCACCCUUCCG